rnacentral:rRNA from 1 species
UACAGAGGCCUCGAGCGUUAGGCGGAAUCACUGGGCUUAAAGCGUGUGUAGGCGGACUUCUAAGUACCUUGUGAAAUCCCACGGCUCACCCUUGGAACUGCUCGGUAUACUGGUCGUCUUGAGCCUUCUAGGGGCGAGUGGAACAAAUGGUGGAGCGGUGAAAUGCGUAGAUAUCAGGAAGAACACCGGUGGCGAAGGCGGUUCUCUGGGACGGUACUGACGCUGAGACGCGAAAGCGUGGGGAGCGAACAGG